rnacentral:misc_RNA from 1 species
AUAAUAAUUAAAAAAAAACUAAAAUAAUAAUAAAAAAUAAGGUAUUUCCUUAACAGGCAAUGCGUGGAGAAGACCUUCCAUUCUCUCUCCCACUUAUAUACUUUAAUUUAUAUCGUGGAUCUAGUCCAAACAAGAAAGAAUAGAACUUUCCCUGCUGGGAAGAAUAUUCAUUCUGCAUUUUGAUUCGACUCUGUGAAAUGCAUUGGUUAAUUCAAAAAGGAAUAUUUUUGGACCCAAUGAAUUUUUACAGUUAAAAAAACACAAAAUAAAUAUAAAAACCACUAAGGUAAUUCAACUUCUAAUAUAUAUAUAUAUAUGAAAAAAA